rnacentral:rRNA from 1 species
GUGCAGCAAGUCGCGAAUACUCCGCAAUGCUCGAAAGAGUGACGGGGAUUCCAAGUGCCUACGCUUAGCGUAGGCUGUUCAGAUGCCUAAAAGCAUCUGGAGUAAGGGCUGGGUAAGACGGUGCCAUCUGCAGUGGUAAUGAAAAACUUGCUGCUGCAAGGCAUAAGCCGCCGCGGUAAUACCCGCAGCCCGAGUGGUAGUCGAUUUUAUUGGGCCUAAAGCGUCCGUAUCCGGUCUGAUAAAUGCGUUAGGGUAAAUCGUCUGGUA